GACGAACGCUGGCGGCGUGCUUAACACAUGCAAGUCGAACGAAGUGGCGAACGGGUGAGUAAUACGUGGGUAACCUGCCCUCCUUUUUGGGAUAAGCCUUGGAAACGGGGUCUAAUAACGAAUAAAGGGGGAUGGGCUGGCGGCGUAUCAGCUUGUUGGUGGGGUGAUGGCCUACCAAGGCGGUGACGGGUAGCCUGCCUGAGAGGGGGACCGGCCACAUUGGCACUGUGAUACGGCCCAGACGACUACGGGGGGCGGCAGUUGGGGAUAUUGCACAAUGGGCGAAAGCCUGAUGCAGCGACGCUGCGUGGGGGAUGAAGGCUUUCGGGUUGUAAACCUCGUUCGGUAUCGAACGGUUAGCUGCAGAAGAAGCGCCGGCUAACUACGUGCCAGCAGCCGCGGUAAUAC
rnacentral:rRNA from 1 species